CUGGGCGUAAAGGGUCCGUAGGCGGUGUGGCAAGUCGGGAGUGAAAUCUCUGAGCUUAACUCAGAGGCUGCUUCCGAAACUGCCGUGCUAGAGUGUGAGAGAGGCGAGUGGAAUUGCGGGUGUAGCGGUGAAAUGCGUAGAUAUCCGCAGGAACAUCCGAGGCGAAAGCGGCUCGCUGGAUCACAACUGACGCUGAGGGACGAAAGCUAGGGGAGCAAACAGGAUUAGAUACCCUGGUAGUCCUAGCCCUAAACCAUCAGGACUUGGGGUUUGCCCUGUACGGGGCAAGUCCCGUAGCUAACGCGUUAAGUCCUGCGCCUGGGGAGUACGGUCGCAAGACUGAAACUCAAAGGAAUUGACGGGGGCCCGCACAAGCGGUGGAACAUGUGGUUCAAUUCGACGCAACGCGAAGAACCUUACCUGGGCUUGAACCGCACAGGACCAUUCGCCGAAAGGCGAACUUCCCGCAAGGGACCUGUGUAGAGGUGCUGCAUGGCUGUCGUCAGCUCGUGCCGUGAGGUGUUGGGUUAAGUCCCGCAACGAGCGCAACCCUUACUCUUAGUUGCCACCCGCAAGGGGGAACUCUAAGAGGACUGCUCCGGAUAACGGAGAGGAAGGUGGGGAUGAGGUCAAGUCAGCAUGGCCUUUAUGUCCAGGGCAACACACGUGUUACAAUGCGCGCCACAAAGCGUUGCAAACCCGCGAGGGGGAGCUAAUCGCAAAAAAGCGCGCUCAGUUCGGAUUGCAGUCUGCAACUCGACUGCAUGAAGCCGGAAUCGCUAGUAAUGGCGCAUCAGAACGGCGCCGUGAAUACGUUCCCGGGCCUUGUACACACCGCCCGUCACAUCACGAAAGUGGGCUGUACUAGAAAUCACCGUGCCAACCGCAAGGAG
rnacentral:rRNA from 1 species